rnacentral:rRNA from 1 species
GACGAACGCUGGCGGCGUGCCUAAUACAUGCAAGUAGAACGCUGAAGCUUGGUGCUUGCACCGGGCGGAUGAGUUGCGAACGGGUGAGUAACGCGUAGGUAACCUGCCUGGUAGCGGGGGAUAACUAUUGGAAACGAUAGCUAAUACCGCAUAAGAGUAGAUGUUGCAUGACAUUUGCUUAAAAGGUGCAAUUGCAUCACUACCAGAUGGACCUGCGUUGUAUUAGCUAGUUGGUGAGGUAACGGCUCACCAAGGCAACGAUACAUAGCCGACCUGAGAGGGUGAUCGGCCACACUGGGACUGAGACACGGCCCAGACUCCUACGGGAGGCAGCAGUAGGGAAUCUUCGGCAAUGGACGGAAGUCUGACCGAGCAACGCCGCGUGAGUGAAGAAGGUUUUCGGAUCGUAAAGCUCUGUUGUAAGAGAAGAACGAGUGUGAGAGUGGAAAGUUCACACUGUGACGGUAUCUUACCAGAAAAGGACGGCUAACUACGU